GGGCGUGCCAGUGCUGGAGGAUAAAUAGAGGCGCGCGCGCGGUGGGAGGGAGGGGCUUGGGUACUGGCCGUGCCCCUCGGCUCUGCUUGGCGGGAGGGUUAACGGGUGCGGCUGAGGCGCUGCGCUGGCUGGGGCUUCGCGCUGCGGGCCGAGAUACCCUUACCUGUCCCGCAAGUCCCGGGCGAGUCACGUUCAGCGACGGCUCCUCCCUUUUGACGGGGGAAAUAAGAGUCCGUCUAAAGCCAGGCUGCAAGAUGCUCAAAAUUUUUGGCAUUUGGACAGCUUCCUUAGCUAGCAAGGACAUAAAGUACCCAUAAGGCUUGUCACUGGAAUAUCACAGAAUCGCAGAAUGGUUGAAGUUGGAAGGGACCCCUGAAGAUCAUCUAGUCCAACCCACCUGCUCAAGCAGGGUCACCUGGUGCAUGUUGCCCAGUAGAAGAGACUUGUUACGGACAUUUGCAGUUUGGUCAGAAAGUCUGUUCAUUCCAUGAGCAAGCUCCUUUCAUGAAAAACAGUUUGUCUUCAACUCAUAUAUGCUUAAAUCUGGAUUUAUUAGCCAUAUCAUAAUAGAGUGAAAUGUGAGGUGAAAAUUGGUCUUUUUUUGUUGUUGGUUCAGUGUAUCAGUCCCAUUUUUUUGUUGCCUGCCAUCUUGAGCAAAGUAUAUAAUAUUUGUUAAGAAUUGGUUAAACAAAUAAUUGGAAACAAAAAGAAGGAGUAAGUAGUCAGUUUAUGAAGAGAGGUUACCAGCAGAGUUCCCUUAGAUUCUGUGCUCCAUGCUAUUUGGAAU
rnacentral:lncRNA from 1 species